UACGUAGGGGGCAAGCGUUGUCCGGAUUUAUUGGGCGUAAAGAGCUCGUAGGCGGUUCAGUAAGUCGGGUGUGAAAACUUUGGGCUUAACCCAAAGCGUGCAUCCGAUACUGCUGUGACUUGAGUUCGGUAGGGGAGUGGGGAAUUCCUAGUGUAGCGGUGAAAUGCGCAGAUAUUAGGAGGAACACCGGUGGCGAAGGCGCCACUCUGGGCCGAAACUGACGCUGAGGAGCGAAAGCAUGGGUAGCAAACAGG
rnacentral:rRNA from 1 species